AAUAAAUAAAUAAAACAUUUUUAAAAAAGAAAAAAUGUUAUGCUAGAUAUAUUUGGCAUGUAUUCAAAUAUAUAUGUUGUCAACAAGUUGGAUAAAUCCCCUAAAUAUAAAAUAUAUAAAAUUUGAGGGAUGUAGUUGACCAUAGGUCCUUUUUGGUAGUAAUGGAGGGAGAAGGAGGCAGACAGGACUGGGGGCAAUAUUAUUUUAAUUAGAAGAAUUUUUAACACAAAGUGUAAGGCAACAUUCUCUUUACUGUGGAUACUGGUUAUGUUUAAUACAUACAGUGGGUGAUUGUCAAGUGCUUAUUUGUAAACAUUUUAUAUACUCUUAAUGCUGAAAGUGUGGGAACACUCAGAAUGCCUGGGGAGGGGGGAUUUGCAGAAAUCUUACUGUAAGUCCAGCAAUUACAGUAAAAUUACUGUAAUAUUUUGCAACACCAUUCUUUAUUUCAAAAAGUCCAGCCUAGACUUUUAAAAUAUUUGAUUAUUGUUGGAUUAUAGCAAAAUAACAUUCUGUUGAAAACAGGCCCUCCCAUCCAAUUUUAAAUGUAUUGAGACAGCAGCAAUGUCAGUCCAAGUCUGAAAAUCUGCUUCUUUAACCUUUUUAGUGGAUGAGCAGAUCACAUCAUCAGAAAAUAUGAGAUUGGAAAGUCUAGUAGGAAGUUUUGCUUUUAAAUUUGUGUUAGUGUGGAGAGAAAGUGGGCUCUCCAGUGACUCUUUACCUGGCAGCACGAAGAGGGGCUACACACUGGCAUCCCAGCUGGAGGAGCCAAGGGUUACCCAGUGCUUUUUAUUUCAGCAUUAAAAUACUAUAGAGAAAAGGGUCUGACUUCCCACCUUUAAUAUUGCUCAAUCAUUUCUUUUUUACUUCUUGCUUCAGUGAGCACAGUAUGUGGUUUUCAGGGGGAAUUUACUGAAAAGAGAACCCUUCACUGUUUUAUGGAUGGAUUUUGGAGAAAUCUACAGUCAAUGCAUGUUUCUAAAUUCCUUCACAACUGCUGUGAUUCUCUAAAUCUUGGGUCACUUUAAUACUGAAGCAUUUUAUUAUAAAUGAAGCUGUCCUAUGCAAUAUAGACUCUCCCAGAGAGACACUAACUCCAAAUUCAUCACUGAAAUCAGCCCAAGAGAAUAUCCUUCUUAUCUAGGCAUUUUAUGAGGAAAUUAGAAUGUCGAAGGGGUUGAGUCUUUUUUCCAUGAACACAUUGCUGGGAAGUGCCAGAUCUAAUCUGGAGAAAUGGCCCUGUGGUAUUCUGAUCAGUCUUUUGGCCUAGACAUUGCCUAAUGUCCGGUGGCAAAGACCUAUUUGAACUGGAGGUUCAGAUAUAUCUCCUCUCUGGGAUAUAGUUACAGUUUGAGCAGUUUCUCGUCAUGACGAAGAGUGACCUCAGAUUUGGAGAAAUCAGGAGAAAAGGGAACAUUGCUUCAAGAGUGUAUGCUGUUGGGAAAUGCUCUUAUCGGUCACGGAAAAUUCAGGGAGAAAAUGGAGUCAUCAUUCAUAAUCAUUUGUUGUUGGAAGACCCCUAUAUAUAUGUUAUAUACAUAUGGCACUCUUGAGACACUGAGAAGAAACGUCUACUCACACUUCUACCCUCUUCACUUCUAAAACUGAAAUAAUCAGGACAUCUCGGUGGCUCAGUGGUUAAGCAUCUGCCUUUAGCAAAGGGUGUGAUCCUGGUGUCCCAGAA